UCCAGGUAUUGUGCUAAGCACUUUACAUAAAUUUUCCAUUUGAUCCUCAUAAUAACCAUGAAAAGAAGACAAUAUUAUCUCUAUUUUAAAGACGAAAAAUUUACAGCUCAGACCAGGUACAUAACUUGCCCAAAGUCACACAAGGAGUAAGUGGUAGGACUGAUUUUUAAUCCCCAUCUGGUUUACUUCAAAGCCUUAACCACGACUCUUCUACCACACCAAGCAAAUGAUGACAGGAAUAGAAGCGUAGCCUUGGAAUGAUGUUUUCUUGCUUCAAGUACUGGUGCUUGGUCCCAACGGCAGGCACCUUCAAUUUAGAGUACUCAGAAGGUAGCCGUAUGGGCCCCUUGGUCUCAUAUAUUUUUUUCUAGGUUGCAGAUCCAGAGCCCUCAGCACUGUGUACAAGAAACCUACUUUUGCACUUCUCACACUCCCUGUUAACUCCCUGUGUAAUAAUAAACCUAACAUUUCCAGGCAUGGUGCUAAUCUCUCCAUGUAUUAUCUCAUCUGAUCAUCCCAUGAGCUAGGCAUUAUUAUUUCCAUCUCACAGAUAAGAAUGUAGAGAUGCUAAGGUGCUUCUGAAGAAGGCAGGAAGAAACACAGAUGGAAUUUGAAGCCUGGCUUUUGUCUCAGAACCUCAAACUCUGAGCCACUACAUUAUGUUGCCAGCUGUCUCUAGCUCUCUCUCUCUUCCUCUCUCUCUCUCUCUUCCCCCUACUAGAUUAUAAGAUCUGUGAGACUAGUGAUCAUGUCUUUUUUUUUUCUGAGACAGGGUCUCACUCUGUCACCCAGGCUGGAGUAUAGUAGCACAAUCUUGGCUCACUGCAACCUCCACCUCCCAUGCUCAGGCCUCCAGAGUAGCUGGUACUACAGGUGUGCAUCACCACACCCAGCUAAUUUUUGGAAUUUUUGUAGAGACGGAGUUUUGUCAUGUUGCCCAGGCUGGUCUCGAACUCCUGAGCUCAAGCAAUCUGCCUACCUUAGCCUGCCAAAGUGCUGGGAGUACAGGUGUGAGCCACCGCACCCAGCCGAUCAUGUCUUUUUAUGUUUGCAACCCCAGUGCCUAGUACAGUGCCAGGCAUUCAGAAGAUCUUCAAUACUACUUGUAAAUGAAUAGAGGGAUGGGUAGAUGGAUGAUGGUGGAUGAAUAAAGAGAGGGAUGAAUGGAUAGAUGGAGGGCUAGGUAGACAAAUGGAUGAUGGAUAGAUAAAGAUAUGGAGACAUAGAUUAAGGGAGAAAAAAGAGGGAUGAGUGGAUAAAGAGAUGGAUGAAGGGAUGGAGGAAGGGAUGGAGGAAAGAAUGAAGGGAAGGAUCAGGGACAGAUGAAUGGAGGUUUAGGUAAAUAGGUGAAUAGAUGGAUGGAUGGAUGAUGGAUGGAUGGAUGGAUGGAGAGAUGCAUGGAGGGAGAGAGCUAAGGAGGAUGGAGGGAUAGAUGGAUAGGAGAAUAAAAGGAGGGAAGGAAAGGGGAUGGAUGAAAGGAGAGAUGGGUGGAUAAAUGAAUGGAUGAUUGGAUGGUUGGAUGAAUGAUGGAAGAAGAGUGGAUCAUGAAUACUUUGAUGGCAGCACCAUGAGCCGCUGACAGGGCAGUGCUUGCCACUGAUUUUCUUGUCUCUGCUUUCCUCAGGUCUGGAUUCUGAGCUUUUCAUCCUCUCCUCUUUUGCCUUUGCCCACACUCCUGAUUCUUCUCCAGUUUUCCAUCAGUUGGUCAAGCCAGACUCCCUUCCCUCUCCUCUGACUUAGAUUUCUGAUCUCCACUUGACCCCCUCACUGGGAACCACAGUGGCCUACAGCUCUGUGUGUACAUGACCUGGUCCCCAUUACUUCUGAUGGACCCCAUCACCUGCUGCUCUUUCUCUCACAUACUCUGAUCUGGCUGCAGUUGCCUCCUUACUGUUCCUCAGACACUCCAGGCAUGCCCUGAAUUCUUUGCACAUUCUCCUCACCCUUUCUCUCUCUGGAAUGCUUUCUCUGGACACUUGUGUGGCUCCCUUUCUUCCCAUCCUCAGUUUUUGCUUAGACACCACUUUCUCAAUGAGUCAGUCCUCUCAGCUACUGCCUCUCCCCCUUUCCUGUUUAUUUUUCUCUAUAGCCAUUAUCACCAUUUGGCAAACUAACAUGUAUUAUGUGUUCAUUUGUCUCACCCAACUAGCGUGUAAUCUCCAUGAGGGCAGUGAGCUUUGUAGGGUUGUAUGGUUCACAGCUGAAGCCUGCAGCAUUUACAAUAGCACCUGAUGUGAUGUAGGCACUCAAUACAUAUAUUUGAAAUGACAACAAAUCAACACACAUAUCUCAAGUAUCUGGUGUACGUAAGACCCUGCGUUAUUGGUUACCACCUGAUAACCUGAGUCUGAAAACCUCUUUCAUUUCAGGUCCAUGGUGGUGUGGGAGCAGAUGUGCCCCAGGGCAUGGACAGGAAGGUUGGAACCUGUGUCAUGGAGCAGGAGCAGAGCGAGACUCUGUGCGGUUAUGUGAAGCGAAGUGGCUAUACCUUGCCCCAGAGUGAAGAAGGAAGGGGGAAAUGUGGAGCCUGAGACAGACACUCACAGAGGCCAGGUGAUGUAAAGAGACAUCCACAUCCUCAUCUGACCAUCUACAAGCUCAGAAGAGAGGUCUGGAACAGCUCCUUCCCUCACAGCCAUCAGAAGGAAUCAACUCUGCCCACAUCCUCAUCUGGGACUUCCCAGUUUCUGAACUUGGAGAAAAUAAAUUUCUGUUAUUUAAGCCACCUGGUCUGUGAUACUUUGUUACAGCAACCCUGGCAAACUAAUACAACAGGGAGGAGAAAGGCACUCAAACUUCAUGGUUCAGGAAUUGUUCUUUUAAAGGAGAGGGGUCUGGGUGUGCAGGCACACGAAA
rnacentral:lncRNA from 1 species